rnacentral:rRNA from 1 species
UACAGAGGUCUCAAGCGUUGUUCGGAUUCAUUGGGCGUAAAGGGUGCGUAGGCGGCGCGGUAAGUCGAACGUGAAAUCCCUGGGCUCAACCCAGGAACUGCGUCCGAUACUGGAAGGCUUGAAUCCGGGAGAGGGAUGCGGAAUUCCAGGUGUAGCGGUGAAAUGCGUAGAUAUCUGGAGGAACACCGGUGGCGAAGGCGGCAUCCUGGACCGGUAUUGACGCUGAGGCGCGAAAGCCAGGGGAGCAAACGGG